CCCGAACUGCCUGACCUGACAGUUGAAGAGAGUGCCUCCUGGGUGUCGUGUUAUGCCUACGAAACGUGAUUGUUGUUGUACGUCGCUCAUGAAUAGUCGUCCCGCCACCCAAACCAUCAACACCACCACCACCACCACCACCACAGCCACAGCAGCCUCCAACAGCGCCUUCCUCAGUACCACAGUUGUAAGUCAUCGGCACAGGGCGCGUCACCCCCCGCUGCCCCACACUAGCCUGGCAUCCAAAGCAGAAGGCAGGUAGCCCGUGCCCGAGACCCGCCCCUCCGCCCCACCUCGCCCUGUCUCCCGCCUCCCGGACAUUGCCCUCUAAAGGACAUCAACUCUAAGCAAUAAUCUUCAGCAAAUACGCAAUCUGAUCAUCCAGGUUCCUCGCGCCAGAUGGACGUCGCUCGGCACUGAGGAUAUAAAGCAAUACAAGCCCUCACUUCCCUCAACAUUCUCCUCUGCAGCUUCUCGUCUUCAACAAACCCCAAGGAUACCCCACAACUGUGCCCCUGGAGAUCGGCCCCGUUCCGCCCCACCCCGCCCGGCCCCGCUCCGAUACACAGCCCUCGUCGCCCCGUCUUGCGGCCCUCGGCUCCUGGCGGCCCUUGGAUCAUUCCCGUCCCACGCCACAGUCCAGGAAUCCUGUCCUCCCGUCAGCCAUCCCGUCCCGCACCUCUACAGGCCAGCCAGCCCAUCAGUCCGGCGUGACUCUGAGGUGGUCGCUGACGGACUCGUGUGGUGAACUUAGCAAUCCGCCAAACAGACAGACUUAUAAAGAAAAGAAAGACAUAUUUGGGCCUUCUCAUCUACGUCGGCAAGAUAUUAUUUUUUGACGCGCCUGCUGUGCUGCACAUACUUGUUAUUCCGUGACUCUGGAUCUGCAAGGUUUCCGGGUGAAGAGUGAAGACUUUUGUGGUGACGUGUUUGCCUGAGGAGGAGUUACUCUGCCAAGUCGUAACGUUUCUCUGCGACUGUGACGGAGGGGAAGCUCCUGUCUCGACGCUCAAGAUUAUCUCUGCUCACAAAAGAUUCUCUCGAAAAGAUAUAUAUUUACUAAAGUGAUACAAAAGAGACUGGACGUUAAGCUAACCUUCUGAGUCUUCCUAACCAUUUGGUGUUUCUUGUUCCGGACUGUUCGGUGUCCAGCGGCCGCGCGAGGCAGCUUCUCAAGGUACCGCCCCUUGACCGUGCGGUGGAUCCUUGCCAGGCGCUCAGGAAAGGCCCAGCACCAGAGGAGAAAGCUGUGAACAGUAUGCAAACCUGUACUUGUGUUGUCUCCGUGUGUUGUGAUCGGUCAGUGCGGGAGUGAGUGAGGGAGGAAGUGUCUCUAGAGUCCCGUGUUUCUCUCUCCAUGAAGACACCCUCGCCCAGGGCUCCGGGAGAACACGCCGCGCACCGAGUACAAACAAACUCAACUCCGACUUUAUAACCUUCUCUCCCGCAUCACAAUCGUUACCUUGGUUUGAGCUCAAGUAAGGAGGAAAGAAUCUGAACCUCAACGGAGCACCAUCGUCUGUCUGUCUUCUCUCAAGCAAUAAGUAGAACCUUAAGUGUUUCCACAUCUCGUCGAAUUUCCAGUACCAAGACCUGAGCGUCCAAGAUGGCGGGAAGAUUCGCAGGCGCCCGCAUGGGCAUGAGUGCCCAGAAGAAGAAUGAGACUGCUAUGAACAAACGCAACCGGAGCAAGGACUUAUCACAUAAUAGUCUCCAGCCUUCUCACGGCCGACGUGGCUCCAUUCUCUCCACCAUCUCUCAAAUCGGAGGAAGCAAGGUAUAAGACUGACCUUCUUCCCUCUGGCAUGACUUAUUUUCUCUCUACUACUGACUUGGUUUGCCCGCGUGAUACUCUUAAAAGUCAGACCGUGGUAACAGGUGACGAUCGCUGUGUGGCGCCCGGAUCUGAUCCGCUGCUUAGCGAGCCGCCGC